rnacentral:misc_RNA from 1 species
AGCCAAACUGGUUCUCUGAUUCCUUAGUAGUGUGUUUAAGUUUGCAUUCAAUUACUCUUUCUUACAUUUUCAUUGUGACUCAUCAGUUUAAUGUGCAGAUAGUUAGAUCAUUUUCAAAUUGGUGGAAAAAAAUUGAAUAAAACCCUAAAGGAUGUAGCUUGGGUUUUGGACUAAAUUCAUUAUCCUUCUAGUGGUAUUAUGGAAGCUAAAGCUAAAUGU